rnacentral:lncRNA from 1 species
AAACAUGACGAAAAGCCCUUAGACAUUUGGUUGAAGAGACUGUACUUCUGAGGCGAGACAAGUAAUCUAGUUUGAUCUUGAGUGUCAAAGCAAUCAAUUCUAGGAGAGCCUUCACUUUUUGAAAUGUAGACUUGUGAUAGUGAUGCUAAAUCCGAACUACGAGAGGAUGAGAACUACAGCUAUAUAAAUUCCUAAUCUUAAAACACAACCCUGGGAUAAUUGAG